UUCAGCCAAUCCUCAGAGAGGACUAACAGCCCUCCCAGCAGAGGGAGAUUAAGUCCUUCACUCCCGGGAGGUGUCUGGGAAGCACAUCCCAGUGUGUACCGCAGCAGCUAUGCAUGUGUCGUUUUACCCAUGAGAAAUCGGAAGUUCAGAAGGGACAGAGCCAGGAUGUGAGCCUAGAUCUAUUAACACCUGUGAAUCCUGUGCUGUUUUCCACCAUUCUUGCUGCCAAUUCGGCACAUUUUCAUGCCUCUCGACUUCUUACGGUGCCCGCCAUAUUCCCAGCUGCUGCCUGAACUUAUCAAAGUGGACCCAAUGAAAGCUGUGCUGAGGAGGAUUAUUCUGCUGCUGAGGCUGGGUACAUUGGUGAGGCCGGGAACCUGGGACUGAAUUCCAAGCAGAGAACCAGAAGAGCUGUACAGAAAUCCAGGCAAGGGCCAAGAAGAAACAGGGUUUCACCAUGUUGGCCAGAAUGGUUUUGAACUCCUGACUUCAAGUGACUUACCCUCCUUGGCCUCCCAAAGUGCUGGAAUUAUAGGCAUGAGCUGCUGCACCCAGCCUGAAUGCUUAUGACUUGCUGGCACUGAAAGCCAUGAAGAGUAACUGAACGGAGGCGAAUAAGCUCAUAGCUUGGGAGGAAACAGCAACAUAGCAACGUCUUUAUUUUUGCCUUAUUGAUAUAACCUUGUUCACAAAGAAGACAUGGAAGGGAAGGGACUUGGAGAGUGAGAGAGGAAACAGAAAAGAAAGAUUCUGAGGAAGGGCCAGGAGGAAGCAAAUAGAGCUUCCAGUUCACGCUCCGGGAGUAUUCAAAGUGUCCAUGGGAGAGCUAUGGGUGGGCUUGCUUCACAUGCAGGGGGAGGCCUGGCUAUAGCUACCUUCCUCCCAGCUCUGACCCCAAAGUGAGGUCAGUGUCCAGUCUCCAUGUGAAUGAUUCUCAGACCCCAUCCUUUCCCCAGCAGGUUGCAAAGGCUGCGUCAUCUGUGCCUAUGCACAAGCCUGGGCCCAGAGAUUCUCUCAAGCCCUAGUGUCUCUGCUCUCCAGAUCAAGAGAACCAGCAGGGGCUAUAUCUAUAGAGAAGUUUAUUUUAAGGCAUUGGCUCGAAUGACAAUGGAGGCUGGCAAGUCCAAAAUCUACAGGGUAGUCCUGCAGUCUGGAAACCCAGGGAGGAGUUGAAGUUUGAGUCCCAAGGCAGUCUGCUGGCAGAAUUCCCUCUUGCCUCUGAGGAAAUUAUUGGAUGAGGCCCACCCAUUCAAUGGAGGGUCAUCUAAUUUACUAAAAGUCUAUUGAUUUAAAUGUUAAUCUCAUUUGAAAACAUCUUUGGCUGAGUGUGGUGGCUCAUGCCUGUAAUUUCAGCACUUUGGGAGGUGGAAGUAGAUGGAUUACUGGAGAUCAGGAGUUCGAGACCAGCCUGGGCAACAUGUCUAUACUAAAAAUACAAAAAAAAAAAAAAAUUAGCUGGGCAUGGUGGCGCAUGCCUGUUAUCCCAGCUACUUGGCAGGCUGAGGCAGGAGGAUUGCUUGAACAUGGGUGGCAGAGGUUGCAGUAAGCCAAGAUUGCACCAUUGCACUCCAGCCUGGGUGAAAAGAGUGAAAUUCCAUCUCAUAAAACAACAAAAUGAAAAAAACAAAAACACCUUCAAAGAAACAUCUGGAAUAAUGUUUGACCAACUAGCUGGGUACCGUGGCUCACCAAGUUGGCACAUGAAGUUAACUAUCCCAUCUGGAAAGGGAAGAUGGCUUCGUGGCAGAGCUGACUUUGGAGGGAGGGUAGCAACUGAUGCUUUUCGCCCCUUCUCCUUUUUUUUUUUUUUUUAAACAUUAUUCACUUAUUUACACUUUCAAACUGUAAUACAGGCAUGUAGUAAAUAAUUCAAAAGUUCUGAAAAGGUAGAAGAUGAAAAGUGAGUCUCCCUUCUACUUCUGACCUGUUUCUUGGGAAUUCUUUCAGAGAGAUAAAACAAAUCUAUAACAGGGAGGGGAGUACUAAACACCGGGGUCUAUUGGGGGGAAAAGGGGAGGGCCAGUGGGAGGGGGAGGUGGGGAGGGAUAGCCUGGGGAGAAAUGCCAAAUGUGGGUGAAGGGGAGAAAGGAAGCAAAACACACUGCCAUGUGUGUUCCUACGCAACUGUCUUACAUGCUCUGCUCAUGUACCCCAAAACCUAAAAUGCAAUAAAAAAUUAAAAAACAAAAAACAAAUCUAUAAGCAUUUUCCUUUUAAAAGCAUAAAGAGUAACAUAUUCCACAUACUUCAUGUUUUUCUAUGCCUUGCUUUUUUCUUUAUUCAGCAAAGUAAAGAAAAAUGGAGUUUUUUCUGUACGAGUCCACAUUGAUCUACCACAUUCUUUUAUUUAUUUAUUAUUAUUAUUUUUUGAGUCUUGCUCGGUCGCCCAGGCUGGAAUUCAGUGGUGCAGUCUCGGCUUAUUGCAACCUCCGCCUCCUGGGUUCAAGCAAUUCUCCUGCCUCAGCCUCCCAAGUAGCUGGGAUCACAGGCGCUUGCCACCAUGCCCAGUUAAUUUUUGUAUUUUUAGUAGAGACAGGGUUUCACCAUGUUGGCCAGGCUGGUCUCGAACUCCUGACCUCAUGAUCCAACUGCCUCGGCCUCCCAAAGUGCUGGGAUUACAGGCAUGCACAACUGUUCCCGGCCACUCUUUUUCUUUUUUUUUUUUUUUGAGAUGAAGUCUUGCUCUGUCACCCAUGCUGGAGUGCAGUGGCCUGAUCUCGGCUCACUGCAACCUCCGCCUCCCAAGUUCAAGCAAUUCUCCCUGCCUCAGCCUCCCGAGUAGCUGGGAUUAUAGGCGCCCACCACACGCCAGGCUAAUUUUUGUGUUUUUAGUAGAGAUGGGGUUUUGUCAUGUUAGCCAGGCUGGUCUCAAACUCCUGACCUCAGGUGCUGCCCACCUUGACCUCCCAAAGGGAUUACCGGUGUGAGCCAUUGCACCCAACCUCUACCACAUUCUUUUCAAUGGCCACAUAGUAUUCCCCAGUAUGUUUCAGUGGUCUCCCAGGGAUGCACAUGUAGGUUGCCUCCAACCUUGUGCUCCUACACACACAUUGCUGCAACUAAUGUGCUUGCAUAUCUUCCUUGAAGCUGCCCUUUUCUUGCUCAAACCCAUGACUUCCUGAAUGCAUUCUUCAGAUGAGCUCAAUAAUGCUUUUCUGACUUCUCCCCCAUCCCUUCGGGUCUCUCCUGCCUCCAUUCAACCUUUCUAGGCUGAGCGACUGCCUCUCCCACAGGUUAAAGUGCUCCCUCCAGUAAGAAGUUAAUCUCCCUCUGGUUUCCCAAGACUCUCCUGAGCUGGACGGUGUCUGCUUGUGUGUCUUUGUCCCACUUCAAUUGUGGUUCUUUAGAUUCAGCUGGAAUUGCCCAUUGUUGAAGAGAGUCUGUAUGUUUUUCUAAGCUAAUUUCACAGGCAGCAGCAUUCAGAUUCAAAUUUCCUGGCACUUGGCUGCAGUCAGUCAAAGUCACCAAGGAGAAUAUAUUGUAGCCAGACAGGUCUCACAAUCCUCUUGCCUGGUGGAGGGUUUUAUUGGCUGCAAAUCCUGUCACCAGGCAGGCAAGACAUCCUCAUCACUUCAUGACAGGUCCUGGGGCAAGGCGUGAUAGAUGGUGAAGAUUGGGCCACCUCUAGGUCCUGGAAAUAAGUUCUGACUCCCAAGUGCCUGGAGAGUGUAACAAAGAGAGGGGCAGCAGGAGCUGGAAGAGGUUACUGAGAUCAUACCACCCAACGCUGCUUUUCAGCAGAUGAGGACCUGGACCCAGUUUGCCAAAAACCAAUUCUGGGCUGCAUCUAUCAGACCAGUGGCCCUAACCCUUUAACAAAGCCCUUGGAGAAUCUGAUGCAAUGAGGCCCUUCUUCCCUGCUAAAUAAAUAUGCAUACACAUACAUUAUUCUGGAUACACUGUGUGUUUUGGUUGGGGUGGUAUGGGGAGGGUAUUCUGGGUUAAGUCACAUAAGAUCAUGCCUGUGAAAGGUUUUCUCUCAAAGGGCAAAUGCCAGGCAUUAUUAUUUUCUUCUCCUGCACUGCUCAGACCAAAACGUUCCCUGACUAACCUGUCUUUAGCUAAACUGGCUUUAAAUUCAUUGCAUUUCUGGAAAGUGCUAAUUAGAAUAUGACAGCUGAGCACCCCCUUUUCUGAGAAGAAAUUGGUUUUCUUUUCUUUUUGUUUUUGAGACAGAAUUUCACUCUCGUUGCCCAGGCUGGAGUGCAAUGAUGCGAUCUUGGCUCACCACAAGCGGUGAAUUCUCAUUGGAAUACUUAACCUCUUUUGGCCUGGUGUUCUCCAAUUUGUAAAUUGCUUCUUCUUCAAACUCUUUAAAUUGUAUUCUGUCUUAGAUUUUUCUUUCUACACACUUUCUUUCUAACCCAUUCACAGAAUUUUUGCCUGCUGUUCCUGCAAUGUUGGGUUCGGUUGGUUUGGAGGUCUUGGGAAUUCUUCCACUAGGAGACGCCAUGUUGCUUGCAUUGAUUUGGAGAUAAGAGGGUCGCUUGGCCAUGAACUACUGGCUGGAGUGAUUGAUUCCAAUUAUUAGGGGGAAUUCGGUGGCUGUCAUACAGCAGAGGCAAGGAAGGCCGUGUCUGGAACCCAAGGCAGUCUCUGGAACACCUCUUAGUAUUACCAUGCCCAAUGAGAAAUGUUAAAUGUAAAAAAGGUAGGCUCACCAAGGAGUCACCCACUUUGGGAGUGGAGGUUUGAGUUAUUCCCCCAAGUAAAGAACUUGAGCAGCUGAGAUACUGGCUGAGGAACUGCAACAUGGAAUGAGUAGUGGAAGAAAAUAGCUUGUGACUAGCAUAUAAAUGAGGAUAGUAGGCUGGGCAUGAUGGCUCUCACCUGGAAUCUCAGCACUUUGGGAAAUCAAGGCGGGCAGAUCACCUGAGGUCAGGAGUUUCAGACCAGCCUGGUGAAACCCCAGCUCUACUAAAAAUACAAAAAUUAGUCAGGUGUGAUGGCAGGUGCCUGUAAUCCUAGCUAUUCAGAAGGCUGAGGCAGGAGAAUUACUUGAACCUGGGAGGUGGAGAUUGCAGUGAGCCGAGAUCAUGCCACUGCACUCCAGCCUGGGCAAUAAGAGUGAAACUCUAUUUCAAAAAAGGAAAGAAAAGAAAUGAGGAUAGUAACAGUUAUGCACAUUUUCCCUUUAUCCUCUCAUGGUUUUGGCUCACAUAUAUAUGCUGUGGGUCUAUAUUCAGUACUCUCUUAUUUUCUCUCUCUUCCUCUCCC